rnacentral:rRNA from 1 species
AUUGAACGCUGGCGGCAGGCCUAACACAUGCAAGUCGAACGAGUGGCGGACGGGUGAGUAAUGUCUGGGAAACUGCCUGAUGGAGGGGGAUAACUAAUGGAAACGGUAGCUAAUACCGCAUACUAUCGGAUGUGCCCAUAUGGGUUGAGAUAGUAGGUGGGGUAAAGGCACACCUAGGCGACGAUCCCUAGCUGGUCUGAGAGGAUGACCAGCAACACUGGAACUGAGACACGGUCCAGACUCCUACGGGAGGCAGCAGUGGUGAAUAUUGCACAAGGGGCGCAGGCCUGAGGCAGCCAUGCCGCGUGUAUGAAGAAGGCCUUCGGGUUGUAAAGUAAUUUCAGCGGGGAGGCGGUACCCGCAGAAGAAGCACCGGCUAACUCCGUGCCAGCAGCCGCGGUAAUUC